GAUGAACGCUGGCGGCGUGCCUAAUACAUGCAAGUCGAGCGAACGGACGAGAAGCUUGCUUCUCUGAUGUUAGCGGCGGACGGGUGAGUAACACGUGGAUAACCUACCUAUAAGACUGGGAUAACUUCGGGAAACCGGAGCUAAUACCGGAUAAUAUUUUGAACCGCAUGGUUCAAAAGUGAAAGACGGUCUUGCUGUCACUUAUAGAUGGAUCCGCGCUGCAUUAGCUAGUUGGUAAGGUAACGGCUUACCAAGGCAACGAUGCAUAGCCGACCUGAGAGGGUGAUCGGCCACACUGGAACUGAGACACGGUCCAGACUCCUACGGGAGGCAGCAGUAGGGAAUCUUCCGCAAUGGGCGAAAGCCUGACGGAGCAACGCCGCGUGAGUGAUGAAGGUCUUCGGAUCGUAAAACUCUGUUAUUAGGGAAGAACAUAUGUGUAAGUAACUGUGCACAUCUUGACGGUACCUAAUCAGAAAGCCACGGCUAACUACGUGCCAGCAGCCGCGGUAAUACGUAGGUGGCAAGCGUUAUCCGGAAUUAUUGGGCGUAAAGCGCGCGUAGGCGGUUUUUUAAGUCUGAUGUGAAAGCCCACGGCUCAACCGUGGAGGGUCAUUGGAAACUGGAAAACUUGAGUGCAGAAGAGGAAAGUGGAAUUCCAUGUGUAGCGGUGAAAUGCGCAGAGAUAUGGAGGAACACCAGUGGCGAAGGCGACUUUCUGGUCUGUAACUGACGCUGAUGUGCGAAAGCGUGGGGAUCAAACAGGAUUAGAUACCCUGGUAGUCCACCCCAUAAACGAUGAGUGCUAAGUGUUAGGGGGUCUCCCCCCCUUUGCGCUUCACUUAACCUUAUUACACUCUCUCCUCUGGGGAGAAACACCUCAAGGUGUAAAACUCAAAGAGUUUGACGGGGACCCGCACAACCGGUGGAGAGUGUGUUUUUUUUCUAAACAACGCGAAAAACCUUCCCAAUCCUUGACGCCUUUGGACGACUCCUAAAUAUAAGCCUCCCCCCUCGGGGGACAAAGAAAAAGAGGGGGCAUGGUUGUCUCCCCCCCGUUCCGGGAAAGUUUGGUUUAAUCCCCCCACCGAACGCAACCCUUAUGCUUAUUUGCCUUCUUAAAUUUGGGCCCCCUCAUUUAACUGCCGGGGACAACCCGUAGAAAGGGGGGGAUAAGCUCAAAUCUCCUGGCCCCUUCUAAUUUGGGCUACACCCUGGCUACAUGGGAGAAUACAAUGGGCGUGCAAACCCGCCGGGCCACGCAAACCCCCCAAAGUUGUUCUCACUUCGAAUGGAUAUCGGCAAUUCUACUACCUAAACCUGGAAUCCCCUGCUAUUCUAGAUUAAACUUGCUCCGGUCAAUACUUUCCCCGGUUCU
rnacentral:rRNA from 1 species